GGGCAAUCGGACAGAUCCUGUUGAGUUAUCUGGUGCACAUGCAUGGUCGUCUGAGGUCUUUGGGACAAAGACAGGUGCAUGUGGGCCCAAUAACUUGAAGGUUCUGCCACAGCUGGUAUCGGAACUGGAUUAAGUAUCUACGGUCACAUACGUAUUUUAAAAACAAAAGUUUUGGUUUUGAAAAACCUAUUUUCAACUAAACACAUUGUUUGGCUUUGAAAAACAGUUUUGAAAAACUAUAAUGCUAGCGACGUCCUCUGUUAAGCCCUAAAUUAAGGACUAUUAGGUGGCUUAGUUGAAAACCACUAACCCACAACCGGGUGGGUAUUGCAUACAUGUGUAUUGUUAUUUUUGAAAACCAUUCCGUUUGGAAUGGAUCGACGCUCAGGUAAGGUGAGAUGUGAGAGCAUGACCGAACAAACGUCGGUCUAGGGGAGAGUAUAAAAAGCGCUUGAUUAUAUACAUGUUUUACAUAUGUAUAUAUGAAGGCUGCGAUGUGGAGUAAUUACUUUUCUGGGAAUUCAGUACCCCAUGGAUGUGUAUGGGUAUACAGACAUGGAAAUACUGAGAAGUGUAAUGUACUUGUAAUGACGCACCUACGCUCAGGUAAGAAGGUGAGUUACCAUAAUGAGUUGCCCUAUGGUUAAAGUGUGGCAACGGCGCCUAUGCGUGGCUCGGCGCUUAAUGAUGAGCUGGCCUCCAUAUAGCAAUAUAUGGAGUAUAAACUGUGAUAAAUUAUCAUGUGUGAACUGCAUCAUUGGGAAAUUGGGCUGUGAUGGAAUCUUCUGCAGGUACACUAACCUCGAAAAACGUAUGUGUAGCUGACGACUAGCAAUACCGAGAGAGAGAACGUAUGCCACCGAUAUAGAACGCUAUCGCCUCAUUAUGUUGGCAAAACUUGUGAGGACGUAUAGGACGAGCAUGCAUCCUGAUUGUUGCAUCAUGUUUGUCACCUAUACAUCCAAAGUGCUUCUAUCAUCUUUAUUCUAAUAACCGAUGAUUGUAGAUAAUGUGGUGUAAUGUUGUAUUAUGAACUUCGAUGAAAUAGGUGUCCUCCAUUCUUUAGGUGACCUCUUAGGGUGCUUAUUGUGCUUGCUCUUGUACUUGAUGCGCUGGUAGAAGGUUGGUGACCUAUUUGCCUAAACCUUAAACUAGGUCAUGUCUUUAUUUAGUGAACCAUGACCCAAAUUUGAAUUUUCCGUUAUCACUCCAUGACCAAACACAUAAAAAUAAAUGCCUAGAUAAUUUCUUUGUUGGACCUAAAGUGUACCCGGACUUGAAACAAGAAUCUCGAGUCAUGUCUCCACCCUAAACCAUGUCCUUGUUCGAUUUGUGCAAGCUGAUGUCUUUAUUCUAGUUUGCCUAUUUUUAAAGGAUCGCCAUGUUGCUUUAUCAACCUAACCCAGAAAAGACCUGUCCGAGUAUUUUCUUGAAUUUGAUGCCUUUGGUUUCCCCAUAUCUAUCAAAGGCAUACCAACUUAAUUUGAUGAUUGUUUUCCCUCCGUAUCUAAUCAGAUACUAAUCCUUGACCUUGUAAUCUCUAUGAUGGGCAUAGAAAUAUGCCUGGGGCUGAAUUAACAGUCUCCCAUCAUACUCCCUUCAUCAACCAAUUUAGGUUAUGGCCGUGUUUUGUUCAUUUCAUCGGGUCAUAAUCUAUUUGGCUCUCUACUUGUAACCAUUCUUACAGGUGGAGUAUCUCCUUGUAUAUUGUCACCCUUGCCCAAUUCAUUUGUGUCGUGUGAGAUUUUCUAUUGGUUAUGUUUGGUAAUGGCAUUAUGACUAAAACCGAUGGUGUCGUGAUGAAACCGAGGGCCUCCUGUGAAUGUACACACAUGGUUGCGCUACUUGGCACGCGCUGGUAUCAUGGUUAGUAGUUGUAAUCCAUUAUGAGACUAUAUCAAGGUGUUAUCUUAGCACAAUCUGUUUUUUCUAUGUGAGGUUCAUUAUUGGUGCCAGUUCGGUGAUGGUGUCAUGAUUAAGGACUUAUGGUGCCGCAGCGAAACUGAGAGCCCCUUGUGAAUGUACACGCAAGGUUAUGCUGCUUGGCGCAUGCUGGUAUCGAUGUCUCUAGUCAUGAUCCAUUGUGGAACUACACUGAUAUGUGAUCUUCCGUGGACUUCUCCCUUGGAACAAUUUUUAUGUUGUUUGUCAAGUGAUCAAGCAACAUCUAUCAUCUCUGUUAGAUCAAAAGGGCAUACCCCUUACUUGUGUGGUCUCUUUCCCCUUGACCUUGAUAGUGACUGCAUGCAUAGAAGUUUACUUUACAUCCUUUGUGUAAAGGUGAAACCUUGGAGCUUUUUAGUGUCGAGAGGCAACUGAUUAGGUCUCAAAAUGGAGAUUGACUUUCCCCUGCUGCUGAAAUGCAGGAGUUUGUUCAUUUGCUCUCCUAUUUAAUUCAUGUAUUCCUGGACCAAGUCGGUUCAUCUCGUAUAGAAGAAACGGAUGAACGACCAGACCAAAUGGAUUCCUGCCCAAAUGCAUGACCAACUGUUAAUAUGAGUAAACUCUGAACCCUUGGCUUACCGAUGGUACUGAGAGGACUUACUCAAUGUCAAAAGUAGUUCAACAAGUUGGUUUUGACUAACUUGUAACUGCAUUUGAAACAAAGGUUGAAUUUAGAGAUCGUUUUAUCGAUUUGCCUGAACUCACUUUGGUCUAACCCACUCUAAAGAAAGUACUCACAAAAGUUAAGUUAAGUCGACCAAUAACCACCUAAUCAUCGCUCUAGUCGUGCCUCAAUCGCCUCACGUAUGCUUUUCCAGCAUAUGUGAUCAAGUCGAGCUGUGACUAGUGCUGGAUAAAAUGGACUGGUUGUAAAGUCCGUAUCUACAGAUCUCUCCACUGGUAAUUUUCUCGAAUCUAUAUCACCUUUCAGGGACUUGGAUUUUCUGGCUAGCCACGGGUCAAAUGUGAUGUUAUUCGACAUUCACACUCGUCUCGUGUGCUAUGAACUUACUGUAACCACUUGUUGGUAAACCUCUUUCUGUGUGAUUUACCCAAGAGGUUGCAUCUGAUUCUGUUUGGGUAAAAUCGCAUAUCUACUGCUCGCCCAACAGACUCAGAUAGUAUAGUGUCAUCAGAAAAAGCAAACUGCACACAUGAAACCUUAUGUGUUCCUCUGGCUGAUGUUGUCUCUACUAAUGGACAUUUCUAAAUUGGCUUACGUCGAUACAUGUUAUGUCCACUAGGGGAAACAACAUCCUGAGACACUUGCCUUCGCUCAGAACUGCCUUACGAUUAUCGCUGAUAAGGAAAUGGGUUACAUGCUGCUCUACUCUUAGAAGUCUUUCGUUCCGAAUCUCGGGACGAGAUUCUUUUAAGGGGGGAGGGCUGUAACACCUCAGGUGUUUAUAUUCCGCUCGACAACGAGUACGGAUUUAAGCACACAAUAUCAGUGGAUAAAACGGAUUUUAAAUUUUAAUCAUCCUCGUUUAUUGCGAAUCUAAUAUCGCAUCUGUUCCGUUUGUCGCGAGUGCGACAUCAUUUUUACUUCUAUUAUUUGGGCUCUUCCAAAUUUUUUUUCGUGAUGUUCGGAAUAUCGUCAUUCCGAAAAUCGGUGCGUCCGGUGAUUAUUUAAAAUUCAUCGCUCGUACGGGUACGAAUUCGGAAGCUCAACCCAAUCGGACGAUUUUAUCCCGAACAAAUUAAUUUUGAACUCGACAACUAAAAUGCUCGGGGUAAAAUAAUUCGAAUCGUGUGAAAUCUUGCGCGAGGCUACGAUCCAAUUUAUCCGUCCGCACCCUGUUUUGGGCGACGAAAUCGCGUAUACAUGGUAGAUCGGGUUUCAGUUCGGUCGAAUCACGCCGAACAAAUUAGUCAGAACUCGUCGACUACGGUUGUCGAUGCAAAUAAUUCGGUUCCCAUUCGUCAACCGUGAAAUCGUAUAUGAGGAUCCAAAAGGUGAGCCUCGACUCGCUGAUAAAUUAUCUAUGGCCGUGAAAUCAGAUGUUCAGACCGUAGAUAAAUUUAUCAGAUUUUUAAAUUGAAUCAACUGUCACAAUUACUGCCGACCCGUUUUACAUUGCUAAAAAUCGUAAUUGUAAAAAUAUCUGCGAUGCUUUG
rnacentral:lncRNA from 7 species